rnacentral:rRNA from 1 species
CAAUAGCGUAUAUUAAAGUUGUUGCAGUUAAAAAGCUCGUAGUUGGGUUUGUGGCGUACGGUGUGUUCCGGGCACUUGUUGUCUGAGUAACCUGCUGUUGCCAUCCUUGGGUGGAACCUGUGUGGCAUUAGGUUGUCGCGCAGGGGAUGCCCAUCAUUUACUGUGAAAAAAUUAGAGUGUUCAAAGCAGGCUUAUGCCGUUGAAUAUAUUAGCAUGGAAUAAUGAGAUAGGACUUUUUUGCUAUUUUGUUGGUUUGCGCAAAGAGGUAAUGAUUAAUAGGGACAGUUGGGGGUAUUCGUAUUCCAUUGUCAGAGGUGAAAUUCUUGGAUUUUUGGAAGACGAACUACUGCGAAAGCAUUUACCAAGGAUGUUUUCAUUAA